CAGACGAUGCGUCAUGCAUAUCAAUAAGCGGAGGAAAAGAAACUAACAAGGAUUCCCCUAGUAACGGCGAGUGAAGCGGGUAGAGCUCAAAUUUGAAAUCUUAAAGGGUUUCCCUUUACGAAUUGUAGUUUAAAGAAGUGUUUUCUGUUGAGGUUUUGGUAAAAGUUCUUUGGAAUAGGACAUCAUAGAGGGUGAGAAUCCCGUAUUUGACCUUUACUUUCAACUUUGUGAUACACUUUCAAAGAGUCGGAUUGUUUGGGAAUGCAGUCCAAAAUGGGUGGUAAAUUUCAUCUAAAGCUAAAUAUUGGCGAGAGACCGAUAGCGAACAAGUACCGUGAGGGAAAGAUGAAAAGAACUUUGAAAAGAGAGUUAAACAGUACGUGAAAUUGUCAAUAGGGAAGCGUUUGACACCAGUGUUGUUUUUCUGAAAAUCAAUUAAAGAACUGUUUAUGCUAAGCUGUUUAGACUUUAUCAGCUAUCUGUUUAGUUUUGAGCUUUUCUUUAAUGCACUUUUCAGUUAACAAGUCAACAUCAAUUUCUUUUGCUGUAAAAAAGCUUGAGGAAGGUGGCUUGAGAUUCGUCUUAAGUGUUUAUAGCCUCUUGCCUAUGCAGUCGGAGAGAUUGAGGUCUGCAGCGUAGAUCCUUCGGGGCUAAAUGCAUUUGUGCUAAGUUAUAGCAUUUUAUAGACAACUUGUUGACUAUGAUUUGUCUUGUAGCUUACUCGCUUAUGUUAUUUUACCUACGCUUAGGAUGUUGAGCGCAUGUCUCUCUCU
rnacentral:rRNA from 1 species